GUUAGGCGAGGUACUAGUUGUCUGCGCAUGCGUCAAUCGUUCGUCAGAUUCUGACGAAUGGAUAUUCUCGUUCACUUUCGUGACAUUUAUAUUCGUGUACUAUCGUGUACUAGAAGUCAGUUCCCGUUUUAUCAUUAUUGGAAAUCAAUUGGAAUGGCUCUUAGCUGAAGCUUCUCUCUUCUCUGAAGCUUAUUCUGAAGACUGAACAACAAGGGAAGAGGUAUAAAGCUUUGUCAAGCUUGUUAAGGUCAGAUAUUUUUGUGUGGGCCCUAUGGCCGGCUAUGCUAUCAAGUCUUGUUCAUGUUUGGCAAGAAUGUAGGUAGACUAUAGUUUCAUCAUUAAUAUGGUGGAUCAAGUGAAGAGUGUGAGCUAGAGAACUUGGUGCUGCCAUCAUCAGCUCGUCGACAAUGACACUAUAACCGAGAAAUUUCUACACGUAUUUAAAAUGUCUACUUCUCUGUACAGGAGCAAUGGCUAAUAUCCAGCUGUCCCAACAGUGCUCCUCUUGGCUAUACUAACGGACGAGACUGGACAGUUUGAGACACAGGACUGGAGUAUGAUCUGCUCAUUCGAGCGUUGCUGGGUAGCUCAGAGACAUCAAGAGAAUCUACGUUUUCUCAAGCAAUGAGUUACGAGUUGGGGCCUAGAAUCAGAGAAGUCCAGCAGCCUGCUAAAUCUUUUUGAAACGUAAUUUGAAGGCAUUCAAUCAUCCUGAAGUUGCCCUGGGUCACUGUAAUUGUGCUGCAGCACAACUGGCAACUCCCCAGGCCUUUGUGAAGCAGCUCCCUAUGUGCAUCUUUUGUGUACUCACUCUGUGCAUUUUCUGUGUACAAAUUUCGAUUAUUGAUUUAUUAAAUAUUUUUGCCGACCACAAA